rnacentral:rRNA from 1 species
GACGAACGCUGGCGGCGUGCUUAACACAUGCAAGUCGAACGAUGAAGCGGUGCUUGCUCCGUGGUUUAGUGGCGAACGGGUGAGUAAUACGUGAGUGACUUACCUUUGACUCUGGGUUAAGCCUGGGAAACUGGGUCUAAUACCGGAUACGACCAAUCUCUGCAGGGGGUGUUGGUGGGAAGCGUUGUUGGGUGGUUUUAGAUGGGCUCACGGGCUAGGAGCUUGUGGGUGAGGUAAUGGCUUACCGAGGCCGCGACUGGUAGCCGGCCUGGGUGGGUGAACGGCGACACUGGGACUGAGAGACGGAGCAGACUCCUACGGGAGGCAGCAGUGGGGAAUAUUGCACAAUGGGCGCAAGCCUGAUGCAGCGACGCCGCGUGAGGGAUGACGGCCUUCGGGUUGUAAACGUCUGUUAGCAUAGAAGAAGCGAAAGUGACGGUAGGUGCAGAGAAAGCGCCGGCUAACUACGUG